rnacentral:rRNA from 1 species
UACGUAGGGUGCAAGCGUUAAUCGGAAUUACUGGGCGUAAAGUGUGCGCAGGUGGCCGCGCAUGUCGAGUGUGAAAUCCCCGGGCUUAACUUGGGAAUUGCGCUCGAAACUACGUGGCUCGAGUGUGGCAGAGGAAGGUGGAAUUCCACGUGUAGCGGUGAAAUGCGUAGAGAUGUGGAGGAACACCGAUGGCGAAGGCAGCCCUCUGGGCCAA